rnacentral:rRNA from 1 species
GACGAACGCUGGCGGCGUGCUUAACACAUGCAAGUCGAACGGAAAGGCCUCUUUCGGGGGGUACUCGAGUGGCGAACGGGUGAGUAACACGUGAGUAACCUGCCCUUGACUUUGGGAUAACUUCAGGAAACUGGGGCUAAUACCGGAUAGGAGCUCCUGCUGCAUGGUGGGGGUUGGAGAGUUUCGGCGGUUGGGGGUGGACUCGCGGCUUAUCAGCUUGUUGGUGGGGUAGUGGCUUACCAAGGCUUUGACGGGUAGCCGGCCUGGGAGGGUGACCGGCCACAUUGGGACUGGGAUACGGCCCAGACUCCUACGGGAGGCAGCAGGGGGGAAUAUUGCAAAAUGGGUGGGAGCCUGAUGCAGCAACGCCGUGUGCGGGAUGACGGCCUUCGGGUUGUAAACCGCUUUCGCUCAUGACGAAGCUUUGUGUGACGGUAGUGGGUAAAGAAGCACCGGCUAACUACGUG